rnacentral:rRNA from 1 species
UACAGAGGUCCCGAGCGUUGUUCGGAUUCACUGGGCGUAAAGGGUGCGUAGGUGGCUUGAAAAGUUUGAUGUGAAAGCUCAGGGCUUAACCCUGAAAUGGCAUUGAAUACUGUCGAGCUGGAGGUUUGGAGGGGGGACUGGAAUUCUUGGUGUAGCAGUGAAAUGCGUAGACAUCAAGAGGAACACCAGUGGCGAAGGCGAGUCCCUGGACAACACCUGACACUGAGGCACGAAAGCUAGGGGAGCAAACAGG